rnacentral:rRNA from 1 species
GAUGACCGCUGCCGGCGUGCCUUAACACAUGCAAGUCGAGCGAGAAGCCAUAAAAGGACACUUCGGUAGAAUUAUAUGCGGAAAGCGGCGGACGGGUGAGUAACGCGUGGGAAACCUGCCUUUCACAGAGGGAUAGCCGAAGGAAACUACGAUUAAUACCUCAUAAAGCAAAAGCUUCGCAUGGAGCGAUUGCCAAAGAAUAAUCGGUGAAAGAUGGUCCCGCGUCUGAUUAGUUAGUUGGUAAGGUAGCGGCUUACCAAGGCGACGAUCAGUAGCCGGCCUGAGAGGGUGAACGGCCACAUUGGAACUGAGACACGGUCCAGACUCCUACGGGAGGCAGCAGUGGGGGAUAUUGCACAAUGGGCGAAAGCCUGAUGCAGCAACGCCGCGUGAAGGAAGAAGGCUUUCGAGUCGUAAACUUCUGUCCAAAGGGAAGAAAAGAUGACGGUACCUUUGAAGAAAGCCCCGGCU